AUGAUUGGAGAGCUUGCUCUUCAUGAUUAGUGGCGCACGGGUGAGUAAUGCAUAGGUAAUGUGCCCCUUAGAGGGGGAUAGCCACUGGAAACGGUGAUUAAUACCCCAUACUCCUUCUGGUCAUAAGGCCAGUCGGGAAAUGUUUUUCGCUAAGGGAUCAGCCUAUGUCCUAUCAGGUAGUUGGUGAGGUAACGGCUCACCAAGCCUAUGACGGGUAUCUGGUUUGAGAGGAUGAUCAGACACACUGGAACUGAGACACGGUCCAGACUCCUACGGGAGGCAGCAGUGAGGAAUAUUGCACAAUGGAGGAAACUCUGAUGCAGCAACGCCGCGUGGAGGAUGACGCAUUUCGGUGUGUAAACUCCUUUUAAGAGGGAAGAUUAUGACGGUACCUCUUGAAUAAGCACCGGCUAACUCCGUGCCAGCAGCCGCGGUAAUACGGAGGGUGCAAGCGUUACUCGGAAUCACUGGGCGUAAAGGGUGCGUAGGCUGACUUUUAAGUCAGGCGUGAAAUCCUAUGGCUUAACCAUAGAACUGCGCUUGAAACUGGGAGUCUAGAGUUCGGAAGGGGCAGAUGGAAUUAGUGGUGUAGGGGGUAAAAUCCGUAGAUAUCACUAGGA
rnacentral:rRNA from 1 species